GACGAACGCUGGCGGCGCGCUUAACACAUGCAAGUCGAGCGAAGCGGCGGACGGGUGAGUAACACGUGAGUAACCUGCCUGAGACAUUGGGAUAGAGUCGGGAAACGGGGAUUAAUACCAAAUGGUCUAAGAUGGACUCGCGUCCCAUUAGCUAGUUGGUGAGGUAACGGCACACCAAGGCGACGAUGGGUAGCCGGCCUGAGAGUGUGAACCGCCACAGUGGAACUGAGAAACGGUCCAAACUCUACGGGAGGGAGCAGUGGGGAAUAGUGCACAAUGGAGGGAACGCUGAUGCAGCUACGCCGCGUGAACUAAGUAGGCUGUCGAGUCGUAAAGUUCUUGUAUCUGGGAAGCGGUACCAUAAGAAAAAGCCCCGGCUAACUACGUGCCAGCAGCCGCGGUAAUUC
rnacentral:rRNA from 1 species